rnacentral:rRNA from 1 species
GAUGAACGCUAGCUACAGGCUUAACACAUGCAAGUCGCGGGGCAGCAUGGGGGUUGCUUGCAAUCCCCGAUGGCGACCGGCGCACGGGUGAGUAACGCGUAUCCAACCUGCCCUUCACCACGGGAUAACCCGGCGAAAGUCGGACUAAUACCGUAUGUUGUCCAUUGACGGCAUCCGAUUUGGACGAAAGGUUUGGCGGUGAAGGAUGGGGAUGCGUCCGAUUAGCUGGACGGCGGGGUGACGGCCCACCGUGGCGACGAUCGGUAGGGGUUCUGAGAGGAAGGUCCCCUACACUGGAACUGAGAUACGGUCCAGACUCCUACGGGAGGCAGCAGUGAGGAAUAGUGGUCAAUGGGCGUAAGCCUGAACCAGCCAAGUAGCGUGCAGGAUGACGGCCCUAUGGGUUGUAAACCGCUUUUAUGCGGGGAUAAAGUGGCCCACGUGUGGGUUUUUGCAGGUACCGCAUGAAUAAGGACCGGCUAAUUCCGUG